UUAUUUAUAAGGCUUUUAACAUUACUUUGGGUUAAGUAUUUUUUUUUUAUGCUUUGGAAAAGAAAGACAAAACCCUAGAAUAUCUUAUUCUUCCUUCCCCCUACCUCAGCCGCCUACUGUGGUAGAUCCGGCGAGAAGAGUCCACCCACGGGCAUCCUUCUGCCUCCAUAAGUAGUGAUGCGAGCUAGUCUCCACGGCAGUGUGUUUGGUUUUCCGGCAUUCUCUCCGACGGCGUCUCCACCACGAAUCGAUGAUUUCUAGCGUGGUCUGCACCAAAACCGACGACCCAAGACCCGCAGUGUCAUUCUCUCUGUGCAGCAACUAUGGUGACCCCGAACCCACGGUGGCGCUGCCUCCACGAGCCAGAUUCGAUGCGUCACCCCCACAGCAACCGCGGUGUUGGCUCAGAUCCGGCAACCCGAGCCCAGAUCUAUGAUGUUCAGCCUCGAUUCGUGAAGAUUCCUUUGUUCCAGCAUUGACCCAUAUCCAAACGAAGCCGAUUCACGAUACCCACCCUUGUGCGAAGUCGAUUUGCGAUACCCACCCCCGAUGGCAUCUUUUCAGCACUCACCCACACCCUAACGGAGAUUUAUUUGCGUUAUCAAUUGUUUUUCGGCAUCAGACCAGCACGUUUGAGCCUUUUCGAGCUCAGUUUUGCACUACCGAACUCAUUCGACAUCAAUCCAACCAAGCCCCAAAUUGUUUCAUCAUGGUUUAAUAGGUAUCGAUUAUUACAGUAUUAGUGACGUGUUAGUUUGUGUAAGUAAUUUCUUACUGAGGUGAUUAUUUGUUGUGAGUUGAUAUGUACGAAAUAUUUGUUUGUGUGUCUAUGAAUGUUGUUGCAUGAUUGCUUGCGGUUGGUACUACAUUAUACAUAUUGGCUGUAUUCUGAUUACUAUUAAACAUUUUAGAGUGUUGGAUACA